CCUACGGGUGGCAGCAGUGAGGAAUAUUGGUCAAUGGACGAGAGUCUGAACCGGCCAAGUAGCGUGAAGGAUGACUGCCCUAUGGGUUGUAAACUUCUUUUAUAUGGGAAUAAAAUGUUCCACGUGUGGGAUUUUGUAUGUACCAUAUGAAUAAGGAUCGGCUAACUCCGUGCCAGCAGCCGCGGUAAUACGGAGGAUCCGAGCGUUAUCCGGAUUUAUUGGGUUUAAAGGGAGCGUAGGUGGAUUGUUAAGUCAGUUGUGAAAGUUUGCGGCUCAACCGUAAAAUUGCAGUUGAAACUGGCAGUCUUGAGUACAGUAGAGGUGGGCGGAAUUCGUGGUGUAGCGGUGAAAUGCUUAGAUAUCACGAAGAACUCCGAUUGCGAAGGCAGUUCACUGGACUGCAACUGACACUGAGGCUCGAAAGUGUGGGUAUCAAACAGGAUUAGAUACCCUUGUAGUC
rnacentral:rRNA from 1 species